rnacentral:lncRNA from 1 species
AGGCUCAGGCCCGCCUGCGGGCUGGUCCCCAUCCUUCCUCUUAGACCCCGCGAGGGUGAUGCAACCUUCGCAUACUGCGGUUGCGAGGCUCCAAGGCCGCCUUCUGCGCGGGAGGAGUGACCCCUGGCGGCCGACGCAGACAUUGCGGGCUUGGUGCUUGGACUCAACUUCUGAGCUGUGUUGCAUCAGCCAACGGGCCCUAAGGAAGCUGAAUAAUGCCUCAGGCUUCCUGCCACCCUGCAGGCCGGGAAGUUGGCAGGUGUGGCGGGUGGGGUGAGGGGUCCGAGUCCCAUGGCCUAGGACGUUCAUUUCUCCGAGGCUCGGUCUCUCCUCUGGUGGGACCAUGUCUCGAAGAGCCCCUGGCUUGGCUUCUGGAGCUGGCGGCCAGAGCCACCAGGAAGAUCAAGGAGCCAGGGCCACCCUCACGUUGCCUAGGCAACAGCAUCCGUGAUCAGACUGUAAGGCAACUGGGACCCAUGCGUGCUCCCCGGGGGAGGCUGCAGGUUCACGUCGGUGUCCGGUGAUAAAGAAGACACGGAUACAGCAAGAAGGAAGGAGGCCCUGUGCACGACACU